rnacentral:rRNA from 1 species
CCUACGGGUGGCUGCAGUGAGGAAUAUUGGUCAAUGGGCGCGAGCCUGAACCAGCCAAGUAGCGUGAGGGAUGACUGCCCUACGGGUUGUAAACUUCUUUUGCACAGGAAUAAAGUGAUGCACGUGUGCCUGUCUGCAGGUACUUUAUGAAUAAGGAUCGGCUAACUCCGUGCCAGCAGCCGCGGUAAUACGGAGGACCCGAGCGUUAUCCGGAUUUAUUGGGUUUAAAGGGAGCGUAGAUGGGUUGUUAAGUCAGGUGGGAAAGUGUGCGGCUCAACCGUAAAAUUGCAAUUGAUACUGGCAGUCUUGAGUACAGUAGAGGUAGGCGGAAUUCGUGGUGUAGCGGUGAAAUGCAUAGAUAUCACGAAGAACUCCGAUUGCGAAGGCAGCCUAC